rnacentral:rRNA from 1 species
UACGUAGGGUGCGAGCGUUGUCCGGAAUUAUUGGGCGUAAAGAGCUUGUAGGCGGUUUGUCACGUUCGCUGUGAAAGCCCGGGGCUUAACUCCGGGUCUGCAGUGGAUACGGGCAGGCUAGAGUAUGGUAGGGGAGACUGGAAUUCCUGGUGUAGCGGUGAAAUGCGCAGAUAUCAGGAGGAACACCGAUGGCGAAGGCAGGUCUCUGGGCCAUUACUGACGCUGAGAAGCGAAAGCAUGGGGAGCAAACAGG